AGAGUUUGAUCCUGGCUCAGAUUGAACUUUGGCGGGAGGCCUAACACAUGCAAGUCGAACGGUAACAGGAAGAAGCUUGCUUCUUUGCUGACGAGUGGCGGACGGGUGAGUAAUGUCUGGGAAACUGCCUGAUGGAGGGGGAUAACUACUGGAAACGGUAGCUAAUACCGCAUAACGUCGCAAGACCAAAGAGGGGGACCUUCGGGCCUCUUGCCAUCGGAUGUGCCCAGAUGGGAUUAGCUAGUAGGUGGGGUAACGGCUCACCUAGGCGACGAUCCCUAGCUGGUCUGAGAGGAUGACCAGCCACACUGGAACUGAGACACGGUCCAGACUCCUACGGGAGGCAGCAGUGGGGAAUAUUGCACAAUGGGCGCAAGCCUGAUGCCUCCAUGCCGCGUGUAUGAAGAAGGCCUUCGGGUUGUAAAGUACUUUCAGCGGGGAGGAAGGGAGUAAAGUUAAUACCUUUGCUCAUUGACGUUACCCGCAGAAGAAGCACCGGCUAACUCCGUGCCAGCAGCCGCGGUAAUACGGAGGGUGCAAGCGUUAAUCGGAAUUACUGGGCGUAAAGCGCACGCAGGCGGUUUGUUAAGUCAGAUGUGAAAUCCCCGGGCUCAACCUGGGAACUGCAUCUGAUACUGGCAAGCUUGAGUCUCGUAGAGGGGGGUAGAAUUCCAGGUGUAGCGGUGAAAUGCGUAGAGAUCUGGAGGAAUACCGGUGGCGAAGGCGGCCCCCUGGACGAAGACUGACGCUCAGGUGCGAAAGCGUGGGGAGCAAACAGGAUAAGAUACCCUGGUAGUCCACGCCGUAAACGAUGUCAACUUGGAGGUUGUGCCCUUGAGGCGUGGCUUCCGGAGCUAACGCGUUAAAGUCGACCGCCUGGGGAGUACGGCCGCAAGGUUAAAACUCAAAUGAAUUGACGGGGGCCCGCACAAGCGGUGGAGCAUGUGGUUUAAUUCGAUGCAACGCGAAGAACCUUACCUGGUCUUGACAUCCACGGAAGUUUUCAGAGAUGAGAAUGUGCCUUCGGGAACCGUGAGACAGGUGCUGCAUGGCUGUCGUCAGCUCGUGUUGUGAAAUGUUGGGUUAAGUCCCGCAACGAGCGCAACCCUUAUCCUUUGUUGCCAGCGGUCCGGCCGGGAACUCAAAGGAGACUGCCAGUGAUAAACUGGAGGAAGGUGGGGAUGACGUCAAGUCAUCAUGGCCCUUACGACCAGGGCUACACACGUGCUACAAUGGCGCAUACAAAGAGAAGCGACCUCGCGAGAGCAAGCGGACCUCAUAAAGUGCGUCGUAGUCCGGAUUGGAGUCUGCAACUCGACUCCAUGAAGUCGGAAUCGCUAGUAAUCGUGGAUCAGAAUGCCACGGUGAAUACGUUCCCGGGCCUUGCACACACCGCCCGUCA
rnacentral:rRNA from 1 species